AGUAUGUGAGGGGAGGAACGGUCACCAUCUUGAAGAGAGCCCUUGGAUACAAUGCCAGCGAUGUUUAGGGUGCAACUAUAGACCCCGGGUCUGGGGCCUGAUGCGUUCUAUUAAAAAGAAAUCAACAAAAAAUG